rnacentral:rRNA from 1 species
UACGUAGGGAGCAAGCGUUGUUCGGAUUUACUGGGCGUAAAGGGCGUGCAGGCGGUUUGUUAAGUGCAGAGUGAAAGCCCCCGGCUCAACUGGGAGAGGUCUUUGCAUACUGGCAAACUCGAGGGAGGCAGAGGAAAGUGGAAUUCCCGGUGUAGUGGUGAUAUGCGUAGAUAUCGGGAGGAACACCUGUGGCGAAGGCGGCUUUCUGGGCCUUACCUGACGCUGAGACGCGAAAGCGUGGGGAGCGAACCGG